CCAUUCUCGUACCCAGAGCCCUUCUUACGCGCGGUGCGACGAGGGGCUCUGGCCAAAUCCAUAACCGGAUACCAUAAAAACAUGGUAAUAGAAUAUAUCCGGUAUUAGAACAAUAACAUUUGUUGUAGCUAAUCAGAUGCCAGUUUGAUAUGGAUUUGGCCAGAGCCCCUCGUCGCGCUCUGUUGACCGCGCGUAAGAAGGGCUCUGGAUACGAGAAUG